AAGCAACACAGUUUACAGCAGUUAGAUGGUGGAGCUCUUUUAUUUCAUUAACAGCUUCAUUCUUUCAUCCACUUCAGGUCUUCAGCUGCUGUCGUCUUCUCCUCCUGCACAGACAACAACACGCAUUGAUCACACAAACUCAUCUAAGCGAGUAGGUGGAGCAGAAUCAGUCGACCAAUCAGCGUUUCGUCUGCCGACGUUGGCUGGCGUGUGACGUCAUCGUUCUGGACCACGAGGAGGAGAGCAGGUCGGUGGAGGAACAAUGGCGAACAGUCGAGUGAAAAUGGAGAUUAAAAUCAACGUUUUACGCCACCUUCUUUACCUGGGGUUGUUGUCGCUGUGAGAAACUUUGUUGCCGAAGAAGCGCGGACGUUACAACGAGCCAGUUACAACACACGCCGAGCUUACCUGCAGGAGGAGGAGGUGAGGACAAUAAACAACCAUCACCAAUAAACAAGAGGCCAGAAGAUCCAGGACAGGCGUCCCUACUUUGUGCAAUGCAGAAGAUCUUUGAGAUGAGAUAAGAAGGGGCAAGGACAGCUAUGGGAGGAAGCCGGAGGAGUGCCUUUAGGGUGAGGAGGGUGUUGAGGAAAGCUACAGGACCCGAUGGCAGCUGUGUGGGGUUUUCUGCACAUGUUCAAGUUGAAGAGAAGUUUAAGUGGAGAGAGUUUGGCCCAUGUGGAAAACAUCCUGUGUGGUCCCAGUUGUCACGUGAUGAAGAUGCUGUCGUGUAUGUGCUGCACAGAUGCCUUUGUGUCUCUGUCUUGCUCUUUGGAGUCCAUUGAGGAGGCAUCAAGAAAUUUUCUACAGACACUGAGAUGUUGGUUGUGACUGCAGAGAGUGUUCACACAAUGAAGUAGUUCUUUUGGACCAGGAGUGAGAAGAGGUGUCUCCACUUUGUCCACGAUUGCAGAGAGUCUUUAUACACUGCAGAAGGUGUUUGAGACCAGGACAGAGGCUUGUAGGUAAUUCACAGUUUCAUCAUUUGUGUAAUUAUACAAGUAGUUUGUACAAGUUGAGGAACAAAUAGUACGUGGAGUUUUGAAUGUAUGUGUUUGCGGAAAACAGAUGCUUUGUUAGAUGUUGAGUUGCAAGUGUUAUGAUGAUUUUGUCCAGGUAAUUGCAAUGUGCUUUAUGUGAAUUGUGUUAGGCAGAGCAUUGAGUGUUGUUUAUGUUUAGUAUUUCUUCUCAUGUGGAUGUUAUGGUUUGUUGAUGAUUGUGUUGGUAAUAAAGGGGUUUUGUUUGUG